rfam:Scleropages formosus scaffold6754, whole genome shotgun sequence.
GGCUCUGUGGCACAAUGGAUAGUGCGUUGGACUUCUAAUCAAGGAGUUGAAGAAGCAAUUCAAAGGUUGUGGGUUCGAGUCCCACCAGAGUCA